rnacentral:ncRNA from 1 species
GACUAUGGUCGGCGUGACGGUGCCCCGGAUCCUCGGGGUGAAAAGGGAACACGGUGCGAAACCGUGGCUGCCCCCGCAACUGUAAGCGAUCGAAGACCGCCCCUUCCGGGACGGGCUUCCACCCCGAGCGCAAAUGCCACUGGAGCCAUCCGGGAAGGCGGCGAGGGGGACCGUGAGCCAGGAGACCUGCCGUCGAUCACGCGAUCCA